CGGGUGAGUAAUGUAUCGGAACGUGCCCAGUCGUGGGGGAUAACUGCUCGAAAGAGCAGCUAAUACCGCAUACGACCUGAGGGUGAAAGCGGGGGAUCGCAAGACCUCGCGCGAUUGGAGCGGCCGAUAUCAGAUUAGGUAGUUGGUGAGGUAAAGGCUCACCAAGCCGACGAUCUGUAGCUGGUCUGAGAGGACGACCAGCCACACUGGGACUGAGACACGGCCCAGACUCCUACGGGAGGCAGCAGUGGGGAAUUUUGGACAAUGGGCGCAAGCCUGAUCCAGCCAUGCCGCGUGCGGGAAGAGGGCCUUCGGGUUGUAAACCGCUUUUGUCAGGGAAGAAAAGGUUCUGGCUAAUACCUGGGACUCAUGACGGUACCUGAAGAAUAAGCACCGGCUAACUACGUGCCAGCAGCCGCGGUAAUACGUAGGGUGCAAGCGUUAAUCGGAAUUACUGGGCGUAAAGCGUGCGCAGGCGGUUAUGCAAGACAGAGGUGAAAUCCCCGGGCUCAACCUGGGAACUGCCUUUGUGACUGCAUGGCUAGAGUACGGUAGAGGGGGAUGGAAUUCCGCGUGUAGCAGUGAAAUGCGUGGAUAUGCGGAGGAACACCGAUGGCGAAG
rnacentral:rRNA from 1 species